CCCCCGUCAGGUCACCGUGCUUUAACCUGACCAAGAACCUGAGACAGAAGGCGGUGCAGACGUUUUCACUGCUGGUUUAACUGAGAAACUUGAGACCAACUUCACGUCUUCGUUUGAGGAGCGAGACCCUUAAUUUAAUGGAAGCAAUCAGGCCGACGCAGCUGUGACCUAGAUCUGCUCAAUGGGAACCCAGACCAGCUCUGAUGUCACCUUUGCUCUCACAGUUCCCCCCGACCAAUCGCUUCGCCCCAAGACACCAACAUGAUGGGACAAAACAAAAACGUUGGAACAGACACAUCACCACCAAGUUUUCAGGACUUAAAAUCGGAGAAGACGUGGCCUCACAUCAGCACCUGCACCACUCCUCGUCCUCUGUCCCUCAUGUCUCCAGCCCUGCACGGUGCAGCAUGGGAAACCAAGAGGCCUACAUUGUGUGGUUUGUCCUGUAGGCGAUUUUGACAUGCUGACAUCUUUUAUUGUUUUGGAAAGCUACAAUGGUAAUAAAUGUUAAUAAAAUAUUCAAAGUGGGAACAGCCACUUUCCCGUAUUGUGUUUUAUGCAACAUGUAACGUGAUCACCGCCCUGUCGUUUUGUAAGGAUGUUGUUAUACGAGCCAUCUGCUGGCUGGGUUUUUCUGCUUUGA